ensembl:ncRNA T07D1.8 ncRNA
AGCGCUCAUUCACAGAUCAUGCGCCUUAAGAAAAUGGUUUUCUUUUUUUGGGGAAUCGCCGCUCUUUCAAUUCCAGAGCAUGCCAAGUUCACAACCGUGCACAUCUCUGCUCUGAGAUGCAACACACCACCUC